CAGCCAGGAAGGAGGAGGCAGCCAGAGUGGCCACCACUGUUCUCGGCAGCAGAAGACCCCUUGCUGCCCUGCCGAACCCAGCCCAGCAUUUGCCAGUUCUCCAUCAUCAACAAGAAGAAGAAGUCGAAUUGUCACUUUUUUCCUGGCUGGGCUUCUGGACCACUACUCAACAAGCAGAAAACAAACAGUUCAUGCUGUGCUUUUGCAGGCAGCAGUGGAAGCAGCUUGGGAAGCGCUAGACCUCUUCCUGGAGAUUGGUUCUGUCCAGCUACCAGCCCUGCUCCCUUGUUCCAGAGGGACUCCACUUCAAGUGCUGCUUCUUCCACCCUUUGCAAAAGCCUGCCAUACCCUACAAAGGCACCUGCUGUUGCCACCACCAAACAUCAAUCAAGAAAAUGUGGAUGGCUCCAAUGAACUGAGAAAGCAUUACAACCAUCACCCCAGGAUAAUGAAUUAAGGAAUCGUCUGAAGUGAAGGGAAACAAUUCUCCCCUUGAAAAUGAUGGAGUGAGUGUUGAUGUGCAAGAGCUGCUCUCUCAACAUUACAAUUAAGGGGAAGAAAACAAUUUCAGUACUGAGAUUGACAAAAUGAAUUUCAACACACAGACACAUCCUCCAGAACAGGGACUUCUGGGGCACACAUUCCUGAGAUUCUCUGGAAAUGAAGAGGGACAUCUGGAUUAAGUUGAAACUGGCUGAACCUCAAAUCCUGAAUAUGAUAUAAGAAGCAGGGGUGUCAGUAUAAUUGAGCGGAUGGGUUCAAAGAACCCAGGGGGGCCCAGCUCCUGAGAGGCCCCCCCAGCUCCACUCCUCCCUAUUUUUUUCAUUAUCUCCCUCGCUCUGAGGGUCCACCAGGGAAAGGGACGAACACAGGCCCCCUCUCCCUUAGCUACACCCCUGGAAGAAGAAAUACUUUCUAUAGCUAAAGGGAAAGUGGGCCCAUUUCAUAAAAUGUCUAGGUAAUAUGUACAGGUGUACAGAGAGCAACCCCAGUUCCAUUUAUUUUGAUGGACGAGUAUGUGAAAUGAAAUUAUUUUGCUUGCUUGUUUUUGCUCCCUUAGUAGAAGCAUGUCUGUAAUAAGUCCUUAUCUUUUUAAAAAUCAAAAAUCCAGUCUCUGCUAAAUAAAACACACCAAUUUCCCACACUACCCUAUGGAGAAAGAAGGGGAGAGGGGGAAACGUUCUGUGUUGCAAUUCUGUUGUAAAUUCUAUGUUGCUUCAGCCCAGUGGCUUCCCAAGGGAUUCCCAGUACCCACUGCCUUCAUGCCCACAGACAGGUUGGGGAAGUAUUCCCAGGGGAGGAAUCCUAAAAGGGCAAGGGAGACUCAUUCCUAGACUCAUUACGGGUAAGUAAAAUGUGCAGGGUAAUUUAAUCCGCAACACCUAUAUUUCCCUGCUGGUGGCAGUGAUUGCAAGCUUCAGUGGAAAAAAUGACAGGAAAAAAUAAGGAACAAUGGAGACCCUCAUUGAGGUCUAGAAACUUCAGCCUGCCUGGAAUUUCCCUCACCAGGUAAAAUUGUAUGUAUGUAGCCCAUUUUACAACACUGAGUAGUUUAUAAUUGGAGAUUAAAAAGCCUUCCUGGUAUGUCUGAAAUCUAGCAGCAUCAAGAGUCUUAUUUCA